GUGUUUAUGCCAUCAGUUAGUCUGUAUUGAUCCAGGGCGUAUUUUGUGCAGAUGGGGACCCUGGGAAGUUAGCAGCAAUGGAGAAAAGCGUGGAAUGCUCUCCAGGUAUUAACACCACUGCCACCGCCACCCUGGCCAUGGAACACUGCACAGGGAGAAGGCAACAGAGCAAAACAAGCAUAUUGCAUUUCUCCAGCUGCUCCGGAAGUCCUUGGGACAGGAACCAUGUAAUCCCAUAGUGGCAGCAGUAACAACAAUGGCAACAGCAGCCUGGAGAGCACCGAAAUACUUAAAGCUCUGAGGGAAGCGAGUCUUCCCUCCACUAGAGAAGCUGUGGUCCCAAGAGGGUGGGACAAAAUACCAUUCCCUUUUCUCUCUCUCUGUUCAUACACUGCCUGGUGGGACAGACUCAAGUAUAGCCAUGAGAUGUAUGCAGCAAGGUAGGAAAACUAAAGACCUAGCUUUCUAACCAGAGGACAAAAAAAAUGGGGCUUCAGUGGGCCAAAAAUGCCAGAAUAAUCUCAGAAAGGAGACUGCUCAAGAGAGCAGUUCCAUAUUAACUCCGAGGCUUACUUCUAAGCUGCACAUGGUGUGAGAACUGAACUGUGCAUGAGACUAUGAUCCAGGCCACCAAAUGGCCACUGGGCAACAUACACACAACAGAUUCCCAUAGCACUGCAAAGGCUUUGAAAACUGAACUGAUAUUAGAACCACAGUCCACAGGAGAACUCGAGUCUGGAGCCUAAUUAGACUGAUUGCUUGCAAAAACAAAACAAAACAAAA
rnacentral:lncRNA from 1 species